rnacentral:tRNA from 3 species
GGUGGGGUUCCCGAGCGGCCAAAGGGAGCAGACUGUAAAUCUGCCGUCAUCGACUUCGAGGGUUCGAAUCCUUCCCCCACCACCA